GGCCAGAUGGCGGAGUGGUUAACGCGACAGACUAGAAAUCUGUUUCCUUCGGGAGCGCAGGUUCAAAUCCUGCUCUGGUCG